CGGAGGGUGCAAGCGUUAUCCGGAUUCACUGGGUUUAAAGGGUGCGUAGGCGGGCAUGUAAGUCAGUGGUGAAAUCUUUGGGCUUAACCCGAAAACUGCCAUUGAUACUAUAUGUCUUGAAUAUUGUGGAGGCUAGCGGAAUAUGUCAUGUAGCGGUGAAAUGCUUAGAGAUGACAUAGAACACCUAUUGCGAAGGCAGCUGGCUACGCAUAUAUUGACGCUGAGGCACGAAAGCGUGGGGAUCAAACAGGAUUAGAUACCCUGGUAGUCCACGCCCUAAACGAUGGAUACUCGACAUACGCGAUACACAGUGUGUGUCUGAGCGAAAGCAUUAAGUAUCCCACCUGGGAAGUACGACCGCAAGGUUG
rnacentral:rRNA from 1 species